rnacentral:rRNA from 1 species
CCUACGGGUGGCAGCAGUGAGGAAUAUUGGACAAUGGGUGGAAGCCUGAUCCAGCCAUCCCGCGUGUAGGAAGACGGCCUUAUGGGUUGUAAACUACUUUUAUCUGGGGAUAAACCUACAUACGAGUAAGUAGCUGAAGGUACCAGAAGAAUAAGCACCGGCUAACUCCGUGCCAGCAGCCGCGGUAAUACGGAGGGUGCGAGCGUUAUCCGGAUUUAUUGGGUUUAAAGGGUCCGUAGGCGGACUAGUAAGUCAGUGGUGAAAUCCGACAGCUUAACUGUCGAACUGCCAUUGAUACUGCUAGUCUUGAGUAAGGUUGAAGUGGCUGGAAUAAGUAGUGUAGCGGUGAAAUGCAUAGAUAUUACUUAGAACACCAAUUGCGAAGGCAGGUCACUAAGUCUUAACUGACGCUGAUGGACGAAAGCGUGGGGAGCGAACAGGAUUAGAUACCCGGGUAGUC